UCCUAUUUAUCAAUUUUUAAGCCCAAGUUCGGCUCGUCCAACAUUUGCUUGGACUGAUGAGCUCUCAAGAUAACAUUCAGCCUAACUUUACCCUAAUUCUCACCCCAUGAGCCGGACAGAUUGCUUAGUUGGUGAAUUAAAGAGGGAAGAGAAAACAAAACAGCUGAAGAGAAAGCAGGUAAACACGCUCGCAUGCACAAUGCGCAUAUGGCCGACUGAUGGCACCUACAUCGAUUGGAGGUUCUUCAGUCGUUUGGUGAAACUGGACGGAGAAGGUGAAGAAGAAGCCGACCGGGAAGUGAAGCAGAGAAUCCACGCCUGAGGUAUCCUAUGUAUCUCCUGUAACAGCCAAGCUCGAGAACAGAGAUGAAAGGGUAAAUAAAACGAAACUGAGUGAAUGAGCUCGAAAGAGGGGAAUGGGGAAAGUGGGAAAAUCGCUAGGGAAAGCAGAUAAAAUGGAGAGAGCUUUGAGAGAGGGAGUUAAGUGAAAUCGAGAAAAAAAAAAAGAAAAGCUUACUGGGGAGGGGUUCUGGCUAACACUAACAAAUAGAUAGAUAGAUAGAUAGAUUGAUAGAGAAUUAGUAUAAUUCGGGAAUUAGAGAGUCAAAAGCAGCAAAUAGGAGCAGUUUAGCUAUUUGAUGGGUUUAUGUAAAGAGAAUGAUAAGAGUGAAGCUAUUUGAUGGGUUUACUCAAAUCCCUCGCCAGACACAGAAGCUCCGCAUAUUUCUUUCUGUUGCCUCUGGAUCAUCCAACUUCACCUCUGAAAUUGAAACUGAAACAGAAAGAAUUGCGAGAAUAAUCAACGACCACCCAUAUCCUCAUCAACCACUACAACCUACACUCCUUAGGGAGGUUCCUGCAGUUGCGCUCUCAACAACCCUUCUGGAGAAUGUCCUGGGUCGCCUGUUUGCAGCGCAUUCUAAUGGCCUUAAGGCUUUGGAGUUUUUCAAAUAUUUCCUCCAAAAUGCUUGCUGUGGUCCAAGCUCAGAUGCUUUUGAGAAGGCACUUCAUAUCCUCACACGAAUGAGAUACUUUGAUCGAGCUUGGGAGUUGAUGGUGGAAAUGCGAGAAAAACACCCUUCCUUGCUUACCCUGAAAUCAAUGAGCAUCUUGCUGUCUAAAAUUGCUAAGUUUCAAUCAUAUGAAGAAACCCUUGAGGCAUUUUUACGAAUGGAAAAACAAGUGUUUGUUGGGAGGAAGUUUGGUACUGAUGAGUUCAAUGUGCUUCUUCGAGCAUUUUGCACUGAGAGAGAUAUGAAGGAGGCAAAGUCUGUGUUCCAAAAGAUGCAUUCUCGAUUUUCUCCAAAUACCAAGACCAUGAAUUUACUACUUUUGGGAUUCAAGGAAUCAGGUGAUAUUACUGCAAUGGAGCUCUUCUACCAUGAUAUGGUUCGGAGAGGUUUCAAGGCAAAUACCUUAACUUAUAAUAUCAGAAUCGAUGCUUAUUGCAAGAAAGGAUGUUUUGGGGAUGCUUUGAGACUUGUUGAAGAGAUGGAUCGUGUCAAUUGCUUCCCUACUUUGGAAACCAUCACGACCUUGAUUCAUGGGGCAGGGGUUGCUCGGAACAUACCAAAGGCACGGCAGUUAUUUGAAGAAAUGUUUCAAAGAAAUUUGCAGCCUGAUAUUGGAGCUUAUAAUGCAUUAAUCAGUGCACUUAUUAGGUCCAAAGAUCUUCAGGCUGCAAUCAGAUUGAUGGAAGAGAUGGAAGAGAAGAAUAUUGGGCAUGAUAAUAUGACAUAUCAUACCAUGUUUUUAGGAAUGAUGAAAUCAAGUGGCCUUGAGGGUGUUUGCAAGCUCUACAAUAGAAUGAUUGAAAGAAACUUUGUGCCUAAAGCACGCACAGUGGUCAUGUUAAUGAAAUUCUUCUGUCAAAAUGGCAGGCUGGAUUUGGGCCUUAAUUUGUGGUCAUUCCUAGUGGAGAAAGGGCAUUGUCCCCAUGGUCAUUCACUGGAUCUUUUGGUAACGGGAUUAUGCUCUCGGCGAAGGUUGCAAGAGGCUUUUGAAUGCUCAAAGCAAAUGUUGGAGAGAGGAAGGCAAAUGAGUGAUGUGGCAUAUCAAAUGUUGGAGAGAGUUCUACUGCAGUCUAAUGAGACAGAAAAACUGGAGGAGCUCAACAGGAUCAGAAGAAAACUGCAAGAUAUUUUACCUCCAUCAACAUCAAGAUGGCUCUUUUCUGUAUAUCAUCAGUAACAUGCAACUUGUUGGAAAUAUUCUGAAACAAAUAUGCAUCAACAGGCAAUACAUAUUCGACAUGAGUCCUCUGCUUGAUGUGCAGCCUCCAUCAUGGCUACCUCUAUUUUCUUGGUUGUUGAAGAACCAUGCAGUUGUUUAUCUCUUCAAGUGUUUCACGAUGAAGUGCUCUAAGGUGACUUGAAUAUCUGAAGCAGAUGUUAGUUCAUCCAACACCUGUAAAUAGUCCUUCACCAACAUAAAAUCCAAUGUUAGUACACUAUCAGACUUCAAACUGUAGCAGAUCAAGGCCGAUAAACAGGACAAAUAAUUCAAACAAGUAUUUGAGGAAAAUGUGAAAAUUUAUAAUUGGAGUUGGAGAACUUUUUAAAAAAAAUAAUAAUAAUUGGAGCUAGGAGAACAGAAUUUUAAGUUGGAAGUUCAAUAGGUAGAAUUUAGGACUCUUGUCAUCAAGGGAUUGUACAUAGUAGAUAGCCAAAAUUGAAAUAAUAUAUUGGAUAUAGCCAGUGCUAGAGCAUGCUUUGAUUUCCCCGGCAAUAGUGAAUGGUAAAAUGCAUGUAGUGCAGCCUAAUGGAGCAUUCAAUUCAGUUUCUUUCUUCAUUAGUGAGCUAUCAGGAUAUGUGUAUAAGAAAUGUUUGUAAACUGAUAAGAGUUGUGUUGACUACUCGGUUAGGUUGGGAUAGGAAUUCUAUUUCUCCUGUAAGAAAAAAGAGCCGAUAACAGUAGGAAAUUUCCUUUAUGCAUCAUGCUUUAAGGCUCUGUGUGCCCAAUGUUCAUGGAGACAACAAGAAGUUGAUGUUCUGUUAUGGGCUAAUUAUGUGCCAAAAACUUUAUGAGUACAUCAAUCAGCUGUUAUGUUUAUUUCA